rnacentral:lncRNA from 1 species
AAAACACCAGGGGAACCCUGGUGAGAAAGUGUAGCAAGAUCUUAGAGAGGGUGACUCUCUGGACCCCUCCAUGCCUCCCUGAGGAUCGGGGAGCCUGGGACAGCUGUCUGCAUUCCCUAGAGAGGCAUCUCCCAGUGGUGCCGGGAGGAAGGAAGCUGGAAGCUCCGGUUGCUGUGAGCCAAGCAGAGGGAGAAAGAGACCACUGACAGCACCAGGGAUGAGCUGAGGAGGCAGCAGCCGAGCAUGGGGUGACCCCGCCACGGAGAACUGGGAACUCCUGGAGAUGAUGCAUGACAGACUCCUGUGGGCCCUACAUGCUCCCUCGGUGUGCAGGUGACUGUACUGUCUAGCAUGCCCAGCAUCUUCACAGCAGAAGACACUGUGUUUCUGCCCACAACACAGAGUUUGCGUUGAGCGUAUCUAGAAAUCAGCAUCCACACUGAUGGCUGAACAGAGCGAAUGAGGAACGGGUCCAUUCGCUCAGCAGCGGCAUUUAAGGUGCGUCCUGUGCUCCACAAGGCAGCAGCUCUGUUCCCAGUACCUGGGUCCUUCACUCUUCUCUCCAUGAAGCCAAGCUCAGCCUCAGCACUUUGGGGCAUGACCAUGGUCUGACCUGAUUGGUGUUGGGAUGUGUCUCUAGGUCUCAGACACCUGGCAGAGCCAAGCAAAGUGACUGCCUGAAAAUUCGGAGUACAUAGGGCUCCUGAUUCCUAGAUGCCUGGGGACCUGCCCUGCUGUGGAGCCUUGUGAAGUUCCGAAAUCAAUGUUUAGCACUACAUUGCCCCAAAUGAGAAGUAAAUGAUCGUGACAUAAUACUCAAACACUGUGGCAAGAUCAUUUUUAAAGUAUCUAACACCCUCACUGAAGCUGGGUGAUAACUAUUACCAUGCUGAAUAUUCUUCAAGAUUUUUAAAAUGCACAUAACCAACUUGCCAAAAGUGAAAUUUUGUUGCUGAUUGUUCUGUUUUUUAAUUGUUUUUUUUUUCUCCUGUAUGUUGAUUUUUGUAUAACAAUAUCAUUACAUUUAAUGGUGGCCUGGAAUUUCUUCGAGUUUUUUUUUUUCCUUUUUGGUAAUUAAGUUGUUUCUAGACUUCUUUGUGGUUGAUAAAUAUUCUAUAUUUCUGUAAUUUUUCCAGGUCAAAGGGCAUUAAAAUUAAACUUUUCAUGUAUUUACAGAUUAUCUUCUGGAUAAUUCUAGAAAUUUCUCUUUCACAGACAAUUUACAGGGAUCCUAACCAUAGAACUUUCCCCUACAUACAUUUUAGUAGGGCCAAAGGAGCAAGAGAUAUGUAGCAGACAUGGAGUUGUCUCUCCAGACCCUAAUUCUUCAUCUGAGUCUUCCUGACUGUAACUUUUACCUUAGAAAGUUAGUUUCAAAUGAAGUCAGUUUAUUAUUUGUCUGUGAGCACAGGAAGGUUUUGAUAAUAAUAAUAAAAAUGAUACCUG